GGUGGAUUACUGGCGAACGGGUGAGUAACGCGUGGGCAAUCUGCCCUUCACUCUGGGACAAGCCCUGGAAACGGGGUCUAAUACCGGAUAACACUCUGUCCCGCAUGAGUUGGGGUUGAAAGCUCCGGCGGUGAAGGAUGAGCCCGCGGCCUAUCUUCUUGAUGGUGGGGUGAUGGCCUACCAAGGCGACGACGGGUAGCCGGCCUGAGAGGGCGACCGGCCACACUGGGACUGAGACACGGCCCAUAGCUUCCGUACGGCAGGCUCAUGUCCGGGAGAGUAAUUAUCACACAAUGGAAGCGAAAGCCUCGCAUGCAAGCCCGACCCCGAGUGAGGAAUGACGGCCUGUCGGGAUGUAUAACCUCUUGUCAGGCAGGGUAAUGAAAGCGAAAGUUGUACGGUACCUGACGGAACAAGCCGGCCGGCUAACUACCUGGCCACCAACCGUCAGUAAUACGUAGGGACGAAUCAAGCGUUGUCAGGAAUUAGUCCGAACGUAAAGUAGAUCGUAGGCGGCUUGUCUCGUCGGAAGAGAAAUGCCCGCGGAUUAACCCCGGGUCUGCAUUAGAUACGGGCUAGAUCUAAAGUGUGCUAGCGGUAGAUCGGAAUGCCUGGAUCUAACGGAGAAAUGCGCAGAUAUCACGACGAACACCGGUGAGCGAAAGCGAAUCUCCGAGCCAUUACGGACGCAGUAAGGAAAGAAAGCGUAGGCGAGCGAACUCGAUUAGAUAUCCUUGCUACACCACGAAGUAAACGUAAGUAGACUAGCUGUCGGCCAUCAUUCCACGUCCUCAGUGCCGCAGCUCACGCAGUUACUUCCCCAACGUGGGGAGCUACCGUCAAGCAACGCUAAAAUUCAAAGGAAUGGACGCAGGCCCGCACAAGCAACCGAGCAUGUCACUUACAUUCGAAGCAACGCGACGAACACUACCAUAGCUUCGACACAUAAUUCCGGAAACCAUCAGAGAUCGUAGCCACCCAUUGUCGGUCUGGUAGCCAGUAGUAGCUCGCAUGGUCCCUACUGUCAGCUUGGUACGUGUACAAUGUUUGGUUCUAUUACUGCCCGCAACAGAAGCAGCCAACCCUUGAUCAUGGACUGUAGCCAGUCCAUGCACUUCGGGCGGAGCGGGCACUCACACGAGCAAUGCCGGACUAACCUCCGAGCAAGCGGCGGACAGACGUCAACGUCAUCAUGUACGUCUCCUUCCAUGUCCUUGGGGUGCACACGUGACACAAUGGCCGGCACAAUGAGCCGUGAUGCCGCGAGGGGGAGAGAAUCUCAAAAAUCCUGUCUCAUUUCGGAGGGGGGUGCGCAACUUGACCCCAAGAACUCGGAGUUGAUAGAAAGCGCAGCUCCGCAUUGCCGCGGAGACUGGGUUCCCGGCCGAUUCACGCCCCGCCCGUCCUCUCGCGAAAGUCGGUCACCCCAGUAAUCCAGCCCCCAACCCU
rnacentral:rRNA from 1 species